rnacentral:tRNA from 2 species
GGCCUAGUGGUGAAGUGGUAACACAGCGGUCUGCAAAACCGCGACGCACCGGUUCGAUUCCGGUCUAGGCCU